UAGAUUGAAAAAUGCUAAAUUUUAAGUAGUUUUUAAACUUCAUCAGAUGUGCAUUCUUACAUUUGAUGCACUCAUGAAACUUUACAUUUUAUUCUUUUGGACAAGCAGAAUGACAAACAUGGCAUGUACAUAACAUCCCUAGCCAAAGCCAAAAACCAACAGCGACUAAGAAUACAUCAGCAGUAUUUGACAGACAUGCCUCAUCUUCUCUUUGGAUUCACUAUCUCUGAAAAUACCUCUGUAGUAUUUGAGGUACCAAUUACUUUAUUCAAAACAAUCUCCUCAUCAAUGCUUCUCUCUGUCAACAAUCUCAUUUUGCAACACUUCAUCUGACCUGAAUCAAAAUGAGUAUUAAAAUUAUGGCUCACUCUCACUCUCUCUCUCUCUCUUUUUCAAUGAGGACUUUUAUCAAACAUGUUACAGGCAUGAACAUCUAAAAAUUAUUUAUGCACAAAUGCAUGUUAAAACCACAAAAAUUGACCAUGAAGUCAGCUUCAAAGUUGCAUAACCAUGAAUGGAUAAUUAAAUUGAAGAAUUGAACAGAAAAAUAACGAACAAUGAGAUUUCGAGAUAGUACCAUCAACACCAAAUGAUCAACAAAAAAAAAAAAAAAUACAAAUGCUGUAAAGAGUUGAUGAAAAGAAAAAUUUAGAAAAGAAAAAAGAUGUUCAUUCAAUUUGUUUGUGGACCUAAGUUUUGUGCUUUGAGCAAGAAAAUAAAAGGUAAGUUAUAAAAAGCAUGUUUUGUUAGGUAAGAGAAAAUUAGGUAAAAGAAAAGAAAGAGAGGAAAAUAAUCCUAACCGUUAGUAGUGUAAGUGUACAGGUGUGAUAAGAUCCUUAAAAGUUGAGUAAAAACUUAGCUUUGCACCAAAUCCGAAUCCCUAGAAUAAGAUCAACUCCAUAACAUAUAUGCCAAAGGAUGCUCGUGCUGUUCCAAAAUCUAAUACGAGACCUCUUGGGCUAUAUAUUGAGGCGGAAGUGAGUAAUGCUUUUCACACCC
rnacentral:lncRNA from 1 species